rnacentral:rRNA from 1 species
UACAGAGGUCUCAAGCGUUGUUCGGAUUCAUUGGGCGUAAAGGGUGCGUAGGCGGCGCGGUAAGUCGGGUGUGAAAUCUUGGAGCUUAACUCCGAAACUGCAUUCGAUACUGCCGUGCUUGAGGACUGGAGAGGAGACUGGAAUUUACGGUGUAGCGGUGAAAUGCGUAGAUAUCGUAAGGAAGACCAGUGGCGAAGGCGGGUCUCUGGACAGUUCCUGACGCUGAGGCACGAAGGCCAGGGGGAGCAAACAGG